AGUAGAGCCAGUCUCAUCUCUUCUACCUUGCAGCUUCCCAAUAUGUUCAGGACCUGCAGAAAAAGGCUUCUGGACCUUCAUUCUUGGAACUUCAAGAUCUUCCACUUUUGUUGGUUCCUUCACAGACACCACGACGUCCUUUCUCACUUGCUCAACUUCACUAGUAGAUGAUCUCCACCGUGGCUGAGAAGCUGACUGAUCGCCGCAUAUCUCUUUAUAUGACCCUUCCCUUACUUUCAUACCAAAACCACCUUCAAGCUGCCCAGAAAGAGAUCGGAUAUGAGUCUGAGAACCCCUUAACCGUGACUGACUGGGUGGCUGAUCCCUUGUUUUCACAUCCUGAACUCUACUCCCAGAAUCAACAUCCGCCACCCUGCCUAUAGAACUUCUGAUCUGAAUAUGCAAUCCAGACUGGUUGUUGACUCCAACACUCUCCCCUCCAUCUGAAUAACCUCUCAACUUUCCUUCAAAAACCCCAUGAACUUUUCCUGCGCUACUCUUCUCAUCUCCACCCAAGAUGCCCACUAACUUCUCCUCUCUAACCCCCAGAUCAACACUGGCCAGCUCACCUCUACCUGUUAAUGUCCUCAGUGAGGCCUGAGACCCCACUUGAUCUUUUGAAUUCACCUUCCCCUUCAACCCCACCUCCUCGUCCUUCCCCAAAAAUCCACCAACAUGUGUCUGCAACUCAUCCUGAUCUUUGAACCCAGAAACCCUCAUAGCCUCAGCCUUAACUGAACUAGCUUUAUCAUUCAACCCCUGCUGAUCCUUAGAAUCUGCAGAUGAGCUAGAAAACAUGUUAUUUUUGCUUUGGGAUACAGAAGAUGAAGAGGAUGUACACAAAGGGCUAUCCAUACAGUUAUUGUCCUUAUUGUCAUUGCCAAGGUCAAUGCUCAUAUCACUUGCAGCACUCCAUCUCCUCAAUACAGCUCUUUCAACUGCAGGCACAGAAGAUACAUCAGAAGAGAGU
rnacentral:misc_RNA from 1 species